rnacentral:misc_RNA from 1 species
GAUGAAGAACGUAGCGAAAUGCGAUAAGUAGUGUGAAUUGCAGAAUUCAGUGAAUCAUCGAAUCUUUGAACGCACAUUGCGCCCUUUGGUAUUCCUUAGGGCAUGCCUGUUCGAGCGUCAUUUAAACCUUCAAGCUAAGCUUGGUGUUGGGUGACUGUCCGCUUCACGGCGGACUCGCCUCAAAAUUAUUGGCGGCCGGUACAUUGGCUACGAGCGCAGCAGAAACGCGAACUCGGGCCCGUCGUAUUGGCUCCCAGAAGCUAUCUUCACAAUUUUGACCUCGGAUCAGGUAGGGAUACCCGCUGAACUUAAGCAUAUCAAUAAGCGGAGGA